GCAGUUAAGUCCCCCUGGAUCCAAUCCUUGGUACCAAAAAAAAAAAAGAAGAGUUAUCAAAGUUGGCCACCUCUUCAUGUGAUUCAUUAUUCCAUCCCAUGGGCCUGUCUGAAAAGCCACAUUAACCACAUCUCCAUAGUCCUUCUAAUGAAGAAAGGGGUAGUGUUUAACACUUGGCCCCUGUUCCCUCUUGGUUUCCUCUCAUGUUCAUUAUCUCCUUUUACUCCUAAGCUGUUCAUGCAUGCCAAACGUCCUGAACAGGUGUCCUCAGAGCCGCUUUGGGACAGAAGGUAGAAACCCUAAUCUGAAGAUUCAGUGUCGAGAUGAGACAAGAUGCUGAAAAAAAUGAACAGGCUAUGAAAUUUGGAUUUUCCUUAUGUGAAACAUGCUGACUGAAAAAUACGGUGAAAAAUCACAUGACACGAAAUAAUUUUGAAAAGCAAGGAUGGGACCAAAUCAGGACAAAUCUGAGACCUUAGGGGUCCUGCUUCCACGCUGGAAUGAGAGAGAUGUGGUGGGAUAUUGACUUGUGGGCCAUAGACGCGCACUUCAGAACUGGGAGGAACCCGGGAUAGCAUGCAGCUCCAGACCCCUCACUUGGCUGAAAAAGAAAGCGGAAUUACUUUUCCAGUUCCCAAAGUAUGCACAUGGCAUGGGUGGUGUACUAUAAGUCUUGUUUUUUCCACUUAAUGAUAUAUCCUGGGGCACAACUCUAUCUGUUCUCAUCCUGUUUGAUGGCUACAAAGUGCUCUCUGGCACACAACAUCCGCCUGUCUGCUGUUGAUGAACAGGCUCCAGCUGUCAACGUUUCAAAUAGAAUAAUGAAGUUCAGAGUCACCGCUCUGUGCUUCCCAUGGCCUUGAGAAGUCGGCUUCCAGGACGGAGGUGAUGAAGGCUGACUUGGCAAGGGGCUGGGAGGUUCUGCUCGAACCUUCACAAGCAGACUGGAGCUGAGGUCACAGACAGACUGCGCAGGUACCAGCGUCCUUGAUUUUCCAGCUUCAAAGUGAACGGCCUCUGAAGUAGGGGGACAGUCACACCUGCCUUGCUGCCGUUGAUUUCUGCCUUCCUGGCUGCAGACUCAACAAGACAACAAUGAGUCUGUUGACAUUUUCAAGGCCACAUUCAUAAACCAGCCAUGGGAAGCCUCUCUCCCCCUUUCUUUCAAAGUGAACAUGAAAACGUUGUGUACCCAGUAAGAAUUCAGCAACGAACUCAACUCCUCGGAGAUUGGAUCUUAAGUUCAGAUGCUUUAUGAAUCAGACACUAGCAGAUGACUGGUUUCUGGCCCCUGAAGCCUGCCUGAGAAGUGGACUACGUAUUACCCAGAAGCCUCUGGAACCUGUCAAGGAUGAUCUUCUGCUGUUACUAUCAGCUCCAUCCACCUCACUUUCCUUCUCCAGGCAAAAGCAGGUGCUGGUCGUGGUGAGCCAGAUGUGUCAGACUCAAAGACAAGUGUCAUAUGUUUGCUCUCAUAUGUGGAAGCUAGAGAGGAAAAAGGGAAAAGAAAGUUCUCACAAAAAUAGAAAGAAGACUGUUAGGGCAAAAGAAGAGGAUCAGGGCAGGGAGGAGAGAUACAGGACAGGGGACUGAAAUUAGUUAAAUUGUUACAUGCAUAUAUGAAUAUGCCACAAUAAAACCCACUAUCCUGUAUAAUUAA